rnacentral:rRNA from 1 species
AAUGAACGCUGGCGGCGUGCUUAACACAUGCAAGUCGGAUGUGCCUGGCAACAGGUGCAUGGCAGACGGGUGAGUAACACGUGGGGAACCUACCUCUUAGUGGGGAAUAACGCUCCGAAAGGAGUGGUAAUACCGCAUGAGACCCUGAACUGGGAUGUUGAGGGUGAAACCUGGGGACCGCAAGGCCUGGGGCUAGGAGAGGGACCUGCGUCUGAUUAGCUAGUUGGUGGGGUAAUGGGCCUACCAAGGCAACGAUCAGUAGCCGGCCUGAGAGGGUGAUCGGCCACACUGGAACUGAGACACGGUCCAGACUCCUACGGGAGGCAGCAGUGGGGAAUUUUGCGCAAUGGGCGAGAGCCUGACGCAGCAACGCCGCGUGGGUGAUGAAGGUCUUCGGAUUGUAAAACCCUGUCGUCGGGGACGAAGAUUGGGAGUGAAUAGCCUUCAGUUUGACGGUACCCGGAGAGGAAGCCCGGCUAACUCUGUGCCAGCAGCCGCGGUAA